AUUUCUACUAUAAUUAACCCCAGGGUGCUGCUUUUUCCUUUUCUCUCUUCUGUAUUUCGCUAGUUAAUGCCCAAAAUGUUGACCAUUCACUCUGCCCUCAAAGAAGCCCUGCUGCCAGGGCUGGUGGCUACAGCUUUCAGCUACACACACUCAGGGAUCAGUAAUGCCACUACACUCUACCUGUGAGUCACCCCGUGUGCGCCUUCUUCCUUACUUCUCAGGAGCUGCCACCUAAUCCUGUGAUCACUGCCGCCUAUGGGGAAUUUAAAGACCACCAGUUCAGAAGAAACGAGACACCUGAGUCUUCUCUGCUUUUUUAAGCAAUUGGUCUAUGGGUGGGGACACGGCAUAUCAAUGGCUCACUUACUGCUGGUAAAGGCAUUCCUACCUCUGGC